GACACCAAUGACAUCACAAAGUCCAGGUGGUCACAAAGGCAGCUCCUGACCAAUGAAGGAUAAGAGUUGGGGUUACAUUUUGCAGGUCUGGAUGCUGAUGGCUUCAGAGACCUAGUAUAGCCAGUGGAGCAGGAAGACUAGACCAGAGCCCCAAACUAGCAACCAUGAUGUGUGAACAAAAGAGCCAAUAUGGUUCCUAUAAAGACAACAAUCAACAGGAAGACCCUGCUUCCAGACCUGAGCAGCAGUUACCUGCUCUGAGGGCAACAAUGUCGGGAUGCCCACCAACCCACAAGAUGGAGAGAGAGAAAUGGACAACAACCAUGAGCAUCCUCCUAUCAUCCCAGAUGUGUCCUUCUCUUUCUCAGAUGAGAUGCCUGGGUCCAGGAAGAAAGGUUGAAAAUUGAUUCACAGAGCAUAGUGGGAAGCCUCAGAGGCUUAGCUAGAGCCACGAUGUCUCAGUGAAAAAGAGGCCCCACUGUUGUCAUCAACAAUGCUAAUAAAGGCUUUAAGUCCAUGGCAAUGGUUUUGACUUUGUUUCUGUCAUUUUGAGUGGGAGGUGUCUG
rnacentral:lncRNA from 1 species